rnacentral:rRNA from 1 species
UACAGAGGUCCCAAGCGUUGUUCGGAUUCACUGGGCGUAAAGGGUGCGUAGGCGGUCGGGUAAGUCUGAUGUGAAAUCUCACAGCUUAACUGUGGAACUGCAUUGGAUACUAUCCGGCUUGAGGAAUGGAGGGGAGACUGGAAUACUUGGUGUAGCAGUGAAAUGCGUAGAUAUCAAGUGGAACACCAGUGGCGAAGGCGAGUCUCUGGACAUUUCCUGACGCUGAGGCACGAAAGCCAGGGGAGCAAACGGG